GGUUGACCUCGAAUCAGGUAGGAUUACCCGCUGAACUUAAGCAUAUCAAAACGCGGGGGAGAAUUUUCAAGGGGGGAGACAAAAGCAUACUCGGAGAAAUAAUCUUUGAUUGGCCCG
rnacentral:rRNA from 1 species